rnacentral:rRNA from 1 species
CUACGGGAGGCAGCAGUGAGGAAUAUUGGUCAAUGGACGAGAGUCUGAACCAGCCAAAUCGCGUGAAGGAAGACUGCCCUACGGGUUGUAAACUUCUUUUGUACAGGAAUAAAAGACAUUACGUGUAAUGUAUUGCAUGUACUUACGAAUAGCUCGUCCCCC